rnacentral:hammerhead_ribozyme from 1 species
AUCCAGAUGAAGAGUCUCAAACAGAACAAAACACUUGUUCUGUAU